UCUGCACUGAUCUCCAGAGAGAAAAUCAAAGACUUUGGUGGUCCAUUGUUUCUGCUUCCACACCACAUCGAGGGCAUGUUGAGUUAUUUGCUAGUCUCCUAAGUAACAUGUUUGCCCGAGUAGGCAGAUAGUUCCAAGCGAUUUUGGAGAUUGUAAUUUUAAUCUUAGUAGGUAGAUCUAUGCACCAGAGUUUUUUUGUAAAAAUCCCUAUAGACGUUUUGUACAACGUAAGCUCUAGGAUCACCACUUUAUAAUAGUUUGUAGGCGCUCUGAACUGAAAAAUCUCCCGAAGGUUCUCUGUUCCAAGCCAAAAAGUCUGUUUGAGGUUCCAUCGCCAAGGGUAUACGAAGGAUCAAUUCAGCUACUUCUUCUAGGAAGGGCUUUAAUGCUGGUGUCGUUUGUUUCUAAUGCAACUAGACUCAAAAUGGAAUCUGUACAUAUAAGGUAUGUAUCCUAAUUCCUUUUGGAUAAUUUAUAGUGAAUUUUUAAAGUUGCGACAGGGAACCCAGAAACCAUUCUGGCCCUGUCUCACAAUAGCUUUAAUAUCUCUUAACCUGUAACUCCUAUGACCAUUUCGUUUCUUCCAUAUGAAAAUAGACUCAUCA